AGUGAACGCUGGCGGUAGGCCUAACACAUGCAAGUCGAACGGCAGCACAGUAAGAGCUUGCUCUUACGGGUGGCGAGUGGCGGACGGGUGAGGAAUACAUCGGAAUCUACUUUUUCGUGGGGGAUAACGUAGGGAAACUUACGCUAAUACCGCAUACGACCUACGGGUGAAAGCAGGGGAUCUUCGGACCUUGCGCGAAUGAAUGAGCCGAUGUCGGAUUAGCUAGUUGGCGGGGUAAAGGCCCACCAAGGCGACGAUCCGUAGCUGGUCUGAGAGGAUGGUCAGCCACACUGGAACUGAGACACGGUCCCGACUCCUACGGGAGGCAGCAGUGGGGAAUAUUGGGCAAUGGGCGCAAGCCUGAUCCAGCCAUACCGCGUGGGUGAAGAAGGCCUUCGGGUUGUAAAGCCCUUUUGUUGGGAAAGAAAAGCAGCAGGUUAAUACCCCGCUGUUCUGACGGUACCCAAAGAAUAAGCACCGGCUAACUUCGUG
rnacentral:rRNA from 1 species